rnacentral:rRNA from 1 species
CGCUAAAGCGUCGUGCCUAUACCGGGCCGUCAACGGCACAGUGGGCCUCUGCCUUCGGGCAAGAGCCGUUACGUCUUGACGAGUAGGAGGGUCGCGGCGGUGUGCGCAGAAGGGUCUGGGCGUGAGCCUGCCUGGAGCCGCCGUCGGCGCAGAUCUUGGUGGUAGUAGCAAAUACUCUARAGAGGGCCUGGAGAGCCGAUGUGGAGAAGGGUUUCUUGUGAACAGCCGUUGUACAAGAGUAAGUCRAUCCUAAGUGCYAKGAGMAAUCCGAUGUUGAUGGUCUGGCUGUCGACUUCUAUUCUCAACACUUUGAAAACGCUUUANGCUUCCGGGCCGUAAAAGCGUAGGCUCUUUCUCGUGCYAUUCACCGWAUAGUUUAAAAUCGACGCUCUACGCGACUGAAAAGUCGUGCUGGUACCGUUCAGUGGACCAGCCUUGGAGUGGAACGAACCUAUAAGGUGUGGUUUGUCUCUGGCGUGUAUUCCGGCUGGCUUUGGUCUUCACGGAUAUUAACGACUCUUGCCCAUGUUUGUGGCUUUCGUUUCUCACGUCAGAGGCAUCCAGGSUCUACGACACACAUUGAUGUCUUGCUAUAGCCAUSUAUAGCCKUGGGGUUUUUGGUCGAGGAAGAGCAAUGUGUUAUCCUUUAGCCCGUUGAAGGGCRAAARRGAAUCCGGUCAACAUUCCGGAACCCGGCUGCGUAAACCGCUCUCUGUUGGCAUCAGCCGGCGAGCGCUUUGUUGGGGUAACCCAAGCUGUCCCGGAGACUCUGGCGGGGGGUCUGGGAAGARUUUUCUUUUCUUUUUAAGCGUUCGUGGACCCUGGAAUUCUAUAGCAGAGAGAUAGGGUUUGGAACGSGAAAAACAUCGCAGUUGSGGGGGUGACCGGACUUCCCCCCCGGACCUUGAAAAUCUGGGKGAGAGSGACGSGGUGAUCGCGCCGGUUCGUAUCCAUAUCKGCAKCUGGU